GAGUUUGAUCCUGGCUCAGAUUGAACGCUGGCGGCAUGCCUUACACAUGCAAGUCGAACGGCAGCACGGGUGCUUGCACCUGGUGGCGAGUGGCGAACGGGUGAGUAAUACAUCGGAACAUGUCCUGUAGUGGGGGAUAGCCCGGCGAAAGCCGGAUUAAUACCGCAUACGAUCUGAGGAUGAAAGCGGGGGACCUUCGGGCCUCGCGCUAUAGGGUUGGCCGAUGGCUGAUUAGCUAGUUGGUGGGGUAAAGGCCUACCAAGGCGACGAUCAGUAGCUGGUCUGAGAGGACGACCAGCCACACUGGGACUGAGACACGGCCCAGACUCCUACGGGAGGCAGCAGUGGGGAAUUUUGGACAAUGGGCGAAAGCCUGAUCCAGCAAUGCCGCGUGUGUGAAGAAGGCCUUCGGGUUGUAAAGCACUUUUGUCCGGAAAGAAAUCCUUGGUUCUAAUAUAGCCGGGGGAUGACGGUACCGGAAGAAUAAGCACCGGCUAACUACGUGCCAGCAGCCGCGGUAAUACGUAGGGUGCAAGCGUUAAUCGNAAUUACUGGGCGUAAAGCGUGCGCAGGCGGUUUGCUAA
rnacentral:rRNA from 1 species